rnacentral:rRNA from 1 species
AUGCCGCUUGGGGACGCGCCAACCCUGCCGAGUGAGCCAACUCUUGUGCUCGACCCAAACGCACUUGCGCCUACCAAGUGCUCGACGGCGAACCUCAAGCAUGGUGACAACACUACCGACAACAUCAAGGCUACUAUGGUGUCACUACUACCAUCCAAGGCAGUCCCAUUGUUUGCUGACAACAAGUUCACCUCUAGGGUGUUCAUAUUGUGGCCACUAAGAGGGAAUGUGACAGAAUGGCAACCAUGGCCUCCACCUUUGCAGGUGUGGAUCACACACAAGGGACGCAUGUUCAGGCCAAGACCAUGGCCAUUGUUCGAGUACUAUCACGGAGCUGUGCAACUGAGCCAGUCCUGGCCACCACCGUGGAGACCAUAUUUGGAGUUGGGCCUCGGAACUGGGCUAGGAUGA